AAAGGGCUCCAACACUUGCAUUGCUGUGAUGCAGACCCUGUAAUAAUAGUUGGUUACAUCCAGAGAAUUCAGUUCAGAUUUUAAAACCUCAUCAAAUAGUUAAUGACUGACUAUUUCAACACAGCAGUUUCUUCAAGACUUGGGAGAGAAGAGAGGGGGAGAUGGAAAAGUUAUUCAUGUCCCAUCUGUCUGGAACGCUUGUCCCCUCCCUCCCACCCACUGAGUCACUUCCUCCCUUUAUAUCUCACUUAAAAUUUUUCCUUUCCCCUUUAGCUUAUGAUUAACAGGCACUCACCCUCUGCAAAUUGUUUUUUUUUUUUUUCCUUUUUUCUUUUUUCCCCCCGAUGCAAUGUUUGUUAAGGUUCUGUGGAUAAGUAGAGCAUAUUGUCUUGCAAAUAGAUGCACGGAGUGAAAUGCAGUAUAUGCUGCAUGUGGCCAUGUAAAUGAAUGUAUCAACUACUGCAACAUCUUGUUGGUGCUCCAGCCUUCCCACCUGAGCCAAGGAACUCACAAUACACCGCGAUGGUGAUUUUGUCCCUGUUGCUCAAAGCACGGCCAUAAGAUGCCCAGGGAAAGGCAAGUUGCUUGAACCAUGGGGUGGAAGUGUUUUGUGGAAGCAGCACCUAGCAGGAGGGCUGGGGCAGCUGCCAGCAGCCCUGAGAGGGGUUCACUCAGCUGUGCAGCCUGACCCAGGUAAUGAAGCACUUUGGAGACAAGGAGUAUGCGCUCUGCAAGACAAGAGAAAGAGCUGUGUUCCAGUGGCCUCCCAGGCCAGGAGUUGCACAGCUUUUGGACCCAUGCUGGCCUAGUGAAGCCUGCCAAGGAGAUGGGCUGUGCAAAGCCUUCUGAUGGCCUGGUGGAGGAUAACAGCUACAGGAGAGGAGCAGGAGGACAGCCUACCAGGUUUUGCUCAGGCCAGAAGGAUGAGGCUCUGUGUUUGUCAUUAGGACUGGGUACACACAGUUCUGUGGAUUUUGUACUUUUACAGCUGCUCUGUGAUAAUAUUGCAGUUUGCUACCGCUGUUUCGCUGUGCAAAUGGUUGUAAAGCAAGAAGGUUACGGGAGGACGCUUGUGUGAAGCUCUGUUGAACGCCGGCUGCAGUGGCUUGUCG
rnacentral:lncRNA from 1 species